rnacentral:lncRNA from 1 species
CUCUUAUCUGAUAGGGAUGACAAUUUUGCUGACCAACCCUCAAUAGGGUUGGGAGGUUUUUCAUGUGAACUUUCCUGUACACUGUCCUUCUUGUCUAUUUUUUCUAUAAACAGACACUUGUAUAAUGGUAGCCAAAAUAGAAUUAGAGUUCAUAGCCAGAAAACAAAAUAAUGAUAUUUAGCCUACACAUAAUUUAAAUUAGUUUAGAGCUAUAAGAGACUAUGUCACCCAAUGAAUGAAUCACAAAAUAAAAAGUUAAUCCACUUGUAAAAAUCUGAAGCCAUUUGAAUGAGAAACUACUACAAUCUGCAGAUGAUGGGCAGCUCUUGCUAAAUACCAUGGAUAUGGGAGAACUAUCAUGUUUCAUGCUUUUCUGUUUCAUAACUCUACCUUUCAAAAAAUAUGCUCCAUUGCAAAUUUUCACAAUUUCUUAAUUCUAUACUGUUAAAAAGUGAAUCUUUAAAGAAGCACAUAAUUUAAAACCAAAGUAGAUUUUCUUAUUCUAACUUUGUUUUAUCAACAUUUUCAGCAAUGUCUUC